rnacentral:rRNA from 1 species
ACGCAAUAGAUACCCUGGUAGUCCACACCGUAAACGUUGGGCGCUAGGUGUGGGACUCAUUCCACGAGUUCCGUGCCGCAGCUAACGCAUUAAGCGCCCCGCCUGGGGAGUACGGCCGCAAGGCUAAAACUCAAAGGAAUUGACGGGGGCCCGGCACAAGCGGCGGAGCAUGCGGAUUAAUUCGAUGCAACGCGAAGAACCUUACCUAGGUUUGACAUGUGCGAGAAGCCCCUGGAGACAGGGGUCUCUUUGGACACUCGCAUACAGGUGGUGCAUGGCUGUCGUCAGCUCGCGUCGUGAGAUGUUGGGUUAAGUCCCGCAACGAGCGCAACCCUCGUCUUAUGUUGCCAGCACGUCAUGGUGGGGACUCAUAAGAGACUGCCGGGGUCAACUCGGAGGAAGGUGGGGAUGACGUCAAGUCAUCAUGCCCCUUAUGCCUAGGGUCUUCACGCAUGCUACAAUGGCCGGUACAAAGGGCUGCGAUACCGCAAGGUGGAGCGAAU